GAGGGUAUAGCUCCAGUGGUACAGCACAUGCUUAGCAUGCACAGGGUCCUGGGUUUAAUUCCCAGUACCUCCU
rnacentral:tRNA from 1 species